AAAGGAUUGAAAUCCUUCUUUCUCCAAACCAGUGGCCUCAGAAAACAAAAAUGACAUUGUUGGGGGCGGGGGGAGAGUAAACAUUUUAUUUUUGCAGAUUGCCGCAUUAAGACUGAUGGAUUUAUUCCUGCUAACUAUUUUUACAGAAGACAGCUGUCCAUCAGGACUGUCCCAACUGGUGAGCACCCUCUCACAUUUUAAUUCUUUCCUCUAUUGUUGAAGCCUUCCUGCACAAAGAAGAAUGCAAAGACCUGCACUUCCCAGCCUCCUCUACCCAAAGGGUGCAGAAAUGUGUCUUAGAAUCCUAGUCCAAGGCACUGAGCAACUUGGAUUUAGAAAUAAACUCCUCUGUGCGGGAGGUGGUCCGAUCAGACAGCAGUGUGGUUCAACCUGGUUCAAGGACAUGGCAGAGCACAGGCUAAAGAGGGCAGCCUCGGCUUCCAGACAGGACAGUUCUGCCACUGAUUUGUGAGUUAAUAAUCCUUAUGCUAAUUAAUCCCUUUUUGAUUAAUGUCCAGCACCUGGCCUGUAGUAAGUGCUUAAUCAAUUCUAAUGACUUGAAUUUGCUUGAGAAAAACCAGUGGCUCUUCUUUGAGGUAAGAUUUCCUUACUAAUUGGGAAGCCAGGAGCUGUGUUCUUUAAAUCUUUGAUUGCUAGAACCUAGAAAGUGCUUGGCACAUAGUGGUUCCCAGUGAAUGUUGAGGACAGAGCGGAGGGACCAGGUAUGCGAGCCCAGCCUUACACCUGGGCUGGGUAUUAUAAUCCCCUCUGUACCUUCCAGUCUCUCUUAGGUUUCGUUCUAAAGAGGUACGUCAUCCUUGCCUGCAAUGGUACAAGUUUCUCUCCCAGGACUACCACCAGACUCAGACAAGAGUCUUCUUUAGAAGAUCAUGUUCUGGCUCUACAACUGCCCCUCCUGGUGACCUCAUGAGGGUCAUGAGUCCAUGAGGCUCAGAGGAUGUGCCCACUUAGAGUCAACUCCACCUGUUUCCAAACCACAAUUGCUGGAUUGGGGAUCCUGGAUUUCCUAGGUCAAAUGGUGCUUGUUUUAGUUUUCCAUCACCAUAACAACAUACUUGAUAUAAUCAACUUAUAAAAAGGAAGUUUAUUUUAGCUCACAAUUUGGAAGCUUUCAGUAUGCAGUUGGUUGGCCCCAUUGCUUUAGGCCUGUGGUAAGGCAGCAAAUCAUGGCAGGAGCGUGUGACAGGGCAAACACUGACUUCCUGGUCAGGAUGCAAAAGAGGAAGGGGCCAAGGUCCCACUAUGCCCUUCAAGGAUAUGCCCUACAGUGACCUAAAGACUUCCCACUAGAUCCCACCUCUUUAUGUUUUUGUCCUGGGAUUGAGCCCAAGGGUGCUCUGCCGUGACCAGGACAGCCAAACUAGCAGGUUCUGGCGAUGGGAGAUUGGAAGAAAUAAAGAGUCAAGAUAAAGAAGAUAAAGCUGGG
rnacentral:lncRNA from 1 species